AUUGAACGCUGGCGGCAGGCCUAACACAUGCAAGUCGAGCGGAGCGGCGGACGGGUGAGUAAUGCCUAGGAAUCUGCCUGGCAGUGGGUGAUCACGUCCGGAAACGGGCGCUAAUACCGUAUACUAUCAGCUGGUCCUAGGUCGGAUUAGCUUGUUGGUGGGGUAAGGGCCUACCAAGGCGACGAACCGUAACUGGUGUGAUAGGAUGUUCAGGACCACUGGAAGUGAAACACGGUCCAGACUACAACGUGAGGCAGGGGUGGAGAAUAUUGGACAAGGGGCUGAAGCCUGUUCCAGCCAUGCCGAGUGUGUGAAAAAGGUCAUCGGAUUGUAAAGCACUUUAAGUUUGGAGGCGUUACCAACAGAAUAAGCACCGGCUAACUUCGUGCCAGCAGCCGCGGUAAUAC
rnacentral:rRNA from 1 species